AAAUGCAGCAUUGAAGGGUGGAGCUGCUAAAGCAGCAAGCAGCGAUGAAGAGACCAAAUCUCUUGUACAGAAGCUUCAAUCAACAAAAGAAAAUCAUCUAUAUAAUUUUUUCCAUUCUCAUAUCUUCUGUGUUGAUAGCAUUGGAUGUGUAUGACCGGAUAGUGCUGCUAUCUCUACACAGACCAGACUUAACCACGCACAGUGCAGCAGAGUCUGUCAUGAUACUACACAUAUUCUCAUUCUUCCUAUCCCUGCUUGGGUUGAUAUACUCGUUAGAAGCGAAAUACUACAAUUUGGCUAGAAUAUCAGCUACAGCAGGAGGAUUGUCCUUGCUAUCUGUAACACUAAAAUUAUACAAUGAACUGACAUUUACAGGAUUUUUUCAAACAGAGUAUGCUAUCACAUAGAUAUAUAACUGUACACUGUCAUAAUGAUAAUUAUUAAAGUUUUUUACAAAAUGCC